rnacentral:rRNA from 1 species
GGCCUUGACAUACUAAGAACUUUCCAGAGAUGGAUUGGUGCCUUCGGGAACUUAGAUACAGGUGCUGCAUGGCUGUCGUCAGCUCGUGUCGUGAGAUGUUGGGUUAAGUCCCGCAACGAGCGCGACCCUUUUCCUUAUUUGCCAGCGGGUCAUGCCGGGAACUUUAAGGAUACUGCCAGUGACAAACUGGAGGAAGGCGGGGACGACGUCAAGUCAUCAUGGCCCUUACGGCCAGGGCUACACACGUGCUACAAUGGUCGGUACAAAGGGUUGCUACCUCGCGAGAGGAUGCUAAUCUCAAAAAGCCGAUCGUAGUCCGGAUCGCAGUCUGCAACUCGACUGCGUGAAGUCGGAAUCGCUAGUAAUCGCGGAUCAGAAUGCCGCGGUGAAUACGUUCCCGGGCCUUGUACACACCGCCCGUCACACCAUGGGAGUUUGUUGCACCAGAAGUAGGUAGUCUAACCGCAAGGAGGACGCUUACCACGGUGUGGCCGAUGACUGGGGUGAAGUCGUAACAAGGUAAGCGUAGAUGA